rnacentral:rRNA from 1 species
CAGUAGCCGCGGGAAUACGGAGGGUGCAAGCGUUAAUCGGAAUUACUGGGCGUAAAGCGCACGCAGGCGGUCUGACAAGUCAGAUGUGAAAUCCCCGGGCUUAACCUGGGAACUGCAUUUGAAACUGUCAGGCUGGAGUCUUGUAGAGGGGGGUGGAAUUCCAGGUGUAGCGGUGAAAUGCGUAGAGAUCUGGAGGAAUACCGGUGGCGAAGGCGGCCCCCUGGACAAAGACUGACGCUCAGGUGCGAAAGCGUGGGGAGCAAACAGGAUUAGAUACCCGGGUAGUCCCUGUCUCUUAUAC